UUUAAAUCUCGCGCCGCGACCGCUCGUCUCAGGAAAGAGCUGAACCACGCAUUUCGUUUGUCAGACAUGCCACGCCACGUAGCGGCAGCAGGGUGAAGCUUCUGCACACGCAUAGUUCCUUCCGACGCCGUUGCUUAGAAACGCUGUUAUUUACGUUUUCGUAAAACGAGGGAAACUUGAUAUUGUGAAAACGUUUAUGUUAAGGACGCAACUAAAACAGCACUGAAAAGAAGAUGAGGUCUUAUAAAAGGAAGUUGGGUGCAAGAGCCUAUAGAAAUUACUCCAGAGACGUUAGAUAAAGCCGUUAAAUUGGUUUUAACAAAGAAAAUGACCCUGCGAGCAGCAUCUGAAAGGUUCAAUAUUCAUCGAAACACAUUGUGGAACAAAACCAAAGAGAUAAAACGUUCGACCACCUCAAACUCAGAGACAGUCAAACCUAAAAGACAGCAUGGGGGUCAACCUAUUUUUACAAAAGAAGAAGAGGAUACAUUCGUUGCUCAUUCCAUUGCAAUGGCAUCUUAUGGUUUCCCAAUGACAUUACUUGAUUUGCGCUGUGUCGUCAAAUCAUAUCUAGAUCGAA